rnacentral:rRNA from 1 species
UACGAAGGGGGCUAGCGUUGCUCGGAAUUACUGGGCGUAAAGGGCGCGUAGGCGGCCUUCUAAGUCGAACGUGAAAUCCCCGGGCUCAACUCGGAAACUGCCAUUGAUACUAUAAGUCUUGAAUUAUCUGGAGGUAAGCGGAAUAUGUCAUGUAGCGGUGAAAUGCUUAGAUAUGACAUAGAACACCCAUUGCGAAGGCAGCUUACUACGGGUAUAUUGACGCUGAGGCACGAAAGCGUGGGGAUCAAACAGG